GAGGGGAGCGCAGGAUCCUGGGCUGUGUCCCUCGGCGCCCUGGGCUCCAGGGCUGCGCCGCUGGAAUCGUGCUCCCGGGCUGCACAGCCCCCU
rnacentral:pre_miRNA from 1 species